UAAAAUCAAAAAGCACUAUGUAAAUAUCCGUUGUUAUUAUUAUGCUAAACUUCAAAAAGGAGAAUUUGUUGUAAGUUAUAAAAUUUCUUAGAUAGAUUAUUUAAAUGAUUGUCAGACUUAGAAUUUCCUUGGAGAAUUUUUAAUCCUUUUACCACCUGGACUUCAUCGGAUACAGCCACCUGCUUCUUUAAGGAAGAGAAAAAGCAGACGGGUCUCAGACUCGAAACAAAUGGUUGCUCUCACCAACGUGCCUCUCUUUGUCUACCUUCGGGUCUGCUCAAGAAAGCAAGCAACUUAGAGGAUGCUUAUUAGCUCCAGAGGAGAAAAAAGACAUAAAAGAAUUCUCAUUAAGAUGUUCAGCCCUGAAUGCGAACCUUCAUCAUACCCCAGAGCUAUGCAGUCUUUGGAAAAGAACUGAAAAAGAAGGGCCAGCUGUGUCAGGAGUUCCAGUAAGCUGAAUUCACCGAAGUGGAAACAUAAAGGCUUCUCUCAAGUUUUGCCUGGACCUCUCUCGUGACUCAUUCCAGAGUUUUCUUUGCUCACCGGCAUGAUGGGAACAGAAAGGACUGAGAAGCCCUGUUUCUUUACAUUUUUGGACUUGAGGGGGCAACCUGCUUUAUAAACACCAACAAAACCCAGAGUCUUUUAUUCUCAUUUCUGUGAAUAUUUAUCACAAAUUAAGCAGAUUUGGUUUUGUUUCAGGUAAAUAAAAUAAAUGGUCUGUAUCCAGACACGUAGGGGUUGGCAGUCUGUUGAUCAUUCAUCAUCUGUUAA